rnacentral:rRNA from 1 species
AUGCCGAAGGCAAAAGUGCUAGGGCUUGCUGCGAUUGAGAGGGUAAGGAAAAGGCAAGCCUCUAGGGUCACAUGGCUCAGGGAAGGGGACGCAAGCACAAAAAAAUUUCAUGCAAAAUGUAAUGCCAGAAGAAGAAAGAACCAUAUCCAUAUGAUCAGAAUAAGGGAGGGAACGAUCGUAACUAAACAUGCAGCAAAAACUGCAGAGAUACACAAGCAUUUCACAGAGGCUCUUGGCACGGCAAAGCAACGGCAGCACACCCUGACCUGGGACGACCUGCAAAUCCCAAGAAUCACGACGCCAGGCUUGGAUAACCCUUUCACUGAGGGUGAGGUUUGGGCCACGAUCGUGGCGUCGCCGGCUGAAAAAGCCCCUGGGCCGUACGGUUUCACCGACAAAUUCUUCAGAGCAAGCUGGCACACCAUAAAAGACGACAUAAUGGAGGUGUUCACAAAAUUCUAUCACCUUGUGGGAGACAAUUUCCACGAUGUUAACAAAGCUUUCAUCACUCUGCUACCCAAGAAGGAGGUUGCGAUGGAAAUGACACACUUCAGGCCAAUCAGUUUGAUCAAUUCAGUUUCCAAACUCAUCACCAAGGUUCUCUCUAUGAGACUAGCAAAAGUAUUCCCAGAGAUCAUAUCACCGGCGCAAUCAGCUUUCCAGAAGGGAAAUGCAUCCACGAUAGCUUCCUAUACGUUCAAAGCUGCAUCAAGGCUCUCCAUAGAAACAGAAAACCGGCACUGCUCUUCAAGCUACAUAUCACGAAAGCAUUCGAUUCAGUUUCCUGGGAGUACUUCUUAG